GGGAAGGUGGCUCAGUGGUAGAGCACUUGCCUUGCAUGCAUGAGGCCCUGGGUUCAGACCCCCCACCCCA
rnacentral:tRNA from 1 species